rnacentral:rRNA from 1 species
GAUGAACGCUAGCUACAGGCUUAACACAUGCAAGUCGAGGGGAAACGACAUCGUAAGCUUGCUUUUGAUGGGCGUCGACCGGCGCACGGGUGAGUAACGCGUAUCCAACCUGCCCACCACUUGGGGAUAACCUUGCGAAAGUAAGACUAAUACCCAAUGAUAUCUCUAGAAGACAUCUGAAAGAGAUUAAAGAUUUAUCGGUGAUGGAUGGGGAUGCGUCUGAUUAGCUUGUUGGCGGGGUAACGGCCCACCAAGGCAACGAUCAGUAGGGGUUCUGAGAGGAAGGUCCCCCACAUUGGAACUGAGACACGGUCCAAACUCCUACGGGAGGCAGCAGUGAGGAAUAUUGGUCAAUGGACGAGAGUCUGAACCAGCCAAGUAGCGUGCAGGAAGACGGCCCUAUGGGUUGUAAACUGCUUUUAUAAGGGAAUAAAGUGAGUCUCGUGAGACUUUUUGCAUGUACCUUAUGAAUAAGGACCGGCUAAUUCCGUG